GAGAGCUAAAUGAAUCGAAAGAUUCAUAUUUGGUUCGAGAAGAGAUCUAGAUAUUUUGAAAUGAAUGAAAAGAGAGUCUAUUUUCAU
rnacentral:ncRNA from 1 species